rnacentral:rRNA from 1 species
UACGGAGGAUGCAAGCGUUAUCCGGAAUGAUUGGGCGUAAAGCGUCCGCAGGUGGCAAUGUAAGUCUGCUGUUAAAGAGUCUAGCUCAACUAGAUAAAAGCAGUGGAAACUACAUAGCUAGAGUACGUUCGGGGCAGAGGGAAUUCCUGGUGUAGCGGUGAAAUGCGUAGAGAUCAGGAAGAACACCGGUGGCGAAGGCGCUCUGCUAGGCCGUAACUGACACUGAGGGACGAAAGCUAGGGGAGCGAACAGG